GUUAAGCGACUAAGCGUACACGGUGGAUGCCCUGGCAGUCAGAGGCGAUGAAGGACGUGCUAAUCUGCGAUAAGCGUCGGUGAGGUGAUAUGAACCGUUAUAACCGGCGAUUUCCGAAUGGGGAAACCCAGUGUGUUUCGACACACUAUCAUUAACUGAAUCCAUAGGUUAAUGAGGCGAACCGGGGGAACUGAAACAUCUAAGUACCCCGAGGAAAAGAAAUCAACCGAGAUUCCCCCAGUAGCGGCGAGCGAACGGGGAGGAGCCCAGAGCCUGAAUCAGUGUGUGUGUUAGUGGAAGCGUCUGGAAAGGCGUGCGAUACAGGGUGACAGCCCCGUACACAAAAAUGCACAUAUUGUGAGCUCGAUGAGUAGGGCGGGACACGUGGUAUCCUGUCUGAAUAUGGGGGGACCAUCCUCCAAGGCUAAAUACUCCUGACUGACCGAUAGUGAACCAGUACCGUGAGGGAAAGGCGAAAAGAACCCCGGCGAGGGGAGUGAAAAAGAACCUGAAACCGUGUACGUACAAGCAGUGGGAGCCUCUUUAUGGGGUGACUGCGUACCUUUUGUAUAAUGGGUCAGCGACUUAUAUUCUGUAGCAAGGUUAACCGAAUAGGGGAGCCGAAGGGAAACCGAGUCUUAACUGGGCGUUAAGUUGCAGGGUAUAGACCCGAAACCCGGUGAUCUAGCCAUGGGCAGGUUGAAGGUUGGGUAACACUAACUGGAGGACCGAACCGACUAAUGUUGAAAAAUUAGCGGAUGACUUGUGGCUGGGGGUGAAAGGCCAAUCAAACCGGGAGAUAGCUGGUUCUCCCCGAAAGCUAUUUAGGUAGCGCCUCGUGAAUUCAUCUCCGGGGGUAGAGCACUGUUUCGGCAAGGGGGUCAUCCCGACUUACCAACCCGAUGCAAACUGCGAAUACCGGAGAAUGUUAUCACGGGAGACACACGGCGGGUGCUAACGUCCGUCGUGAAGAGGGAAACAACCCAGACCGCCAGCUAAGGUCCCAAAGUCAUGGUUAAGUGGGAAACGAUGUGGGAAGGCCCAGACAGCCAGGAUGUUGGCUUAGAAGCAGCCAUCAUUUAAAGAAAGCGUAAUAGCUCACUGGUCGAGUCGGCCUGCGCGGAAGAUGUAACGGGGCUAAACCAUGCACCGAAGCUGCGGCAGCGACACUAUGUGUUGUUGGGUAGGGGAGCGUUCUGUAAGCCUGUGAAGGUGGCCUGUGAGGGUUGCUGGAGGUAUCAGAAGUGCGAAUGCUGACAUAAGUAACGAUAAAGCGGGUGAAAAGCCCGCUCGCCGGAAGACCAAGGGUUCCUGUCCAACGUUAAUCGGGGCAGGGUGAGUCGACCCCUAAGGCGAGGCCGAAAGGCGUAGUCGAUGGGAAACAGGUUAAUAUUCCUGUACUUGGUGUUACUGCGAAGGGGGGACGGAGAAGGCUAUGUUGGCCGGGCGACGGUUGUCCCGGUUUAAGCGUGUAGGCUGGUUUUCCAGGCAAAUCCGGAAAACCAAGGCUGAGGCGUGAUGACGAGGCACUACGGUGCUGAAGCGACAAAUGCCCUGCUUCCAGGAAAAGCCUCUAAGCAUCAGGUAACAUCAAAUCGUACCCCAAACCGACACAGGUGGUCAGGUAGAGAAUACCAAGGCGCUUGAGAGAACUCGGGUGAAGGAACUAGGCAAAAUGGUGCCGUAACUUCGGGAGAAGGCACGCUGAUAUGUAGGUGAAGCGACUUGCUCGUGGAGCUGAAAUCAGUCGAAGAUACCAGCUGGCUGCAACUGUUUAUUAAAAACACAGCACUGUGCAAACACGAAAGUGGACGUAUACGGUGUGACGCCUGCCCGGUGCCGGAAGGUUAAUUGAUGGGGUUAGCGGCAACGCGAAGCUCUUGAUCGAAGCCCCGGUAAACGGCGGCCGUAACUAUAACGGUCCUAAGGUAGCGAAAUUCCUUGUCGGGUAAGUUCCGACCUGCACGAAUGGCGUAAUGAUGGCCAGGCUGUCUCCACCCGAGACUCAGUGAAAUUGAACUCGCUGUGAAGAUGCAGUGUACCCGCGGCAAGACGGAAAGACCCCGUGAACCUUUACUAUAGCUUGACACUGAACAUUGAGCCUUGAUGUGUAGGAUAGGUGGGAGGCUUUGAAGUGUGGACGCCAGUCUGCAUGGAGCCGACCUUGAAAUACCACCCUUUAAUGUUUGAUGUUCUAACGUGGGCCCCUAAUCGGGGUUGCGGACAGUGUCUGGUGGGUAGUUUGACUGGGGCGGUCUCCUCCUAAAGAGUAACGGAGGAGCACGAAGGUUGGCUAAUCCUGGUCGGACAUCAGGAGGUUAGUGCAAUGGCAUAAGCCAGCUUGACUGCGAGCGUGACGGCGCGAGCAGGUGCGAAAGCAGGUCAUAGUGAUCCGGUGGUUCUGAAUGGAAGGGCCAUCGCUCAACGGAUAAAAGGUACUCCGGGGAUAACAGGCUGAUACCGCCCAAGAGUUCAUAUCGACGGCGGUGUUUGGCACCUCGAUGUCGGCUCAUCACAUCCUGGGGCUGAAGUAGGUCCCAAGGGUAUGGCUGUUCGCCAUUUAAAGUGGUACGCGAGCUGGGUUUAGAACGUCGUGAGACAGUUCGGUCCCUAUCUGCCGUGGGCGCUGGAGAACUGAGGGGGGCUGCUCCUAGUACGAGAGGACCGGAGUGGACGCAUCACUGGUGUUCGGGUUGUCAUGCCAAUGGCACUGCCCGGUAGCUAAAUGCGGAAGAGAUAAGUGCUGAAAGCAUCUAAGCACGAAACUUGCCCCGAGAUGAGUUCUCCCUGACUCCUUGAGGGUCCUGAAGGAACGUUGAAGACGACGACGUUGAUAGGCCGGGUGUGUAAGCGCAGCGAUGCGUUGAGCUAACCGGUACUAAUGAACCGUGAGGCUUAACCUU
rnacentral:rRNA from 1 species